GAUGAACGCUGGCGGCGUGCCUAAUGCAUGCAAGUCGAGCGAACAGACGAGGAGCUUGCUCCUCUGACGUUAGCGGCGGACGGGUGAGUAACACGUGGAUAACCUACCUAUAAGACUGGGAUAACUUCGGGAAACCGGAGCUAAUACCGGAUAAUAUAUUGAACCGCAUGGUUCAAUAGUGAAAGACGGUUUUGCUGUCACUUAUAGAUGGAUCCGCCCCGCAUUAGCUAGUUGGUAAGGUAACGGCUUACCAAGGCAACGAUGCGUAGCCGACCUGAGAGGGUGAUCGGCCACACUGGAACUGAGACACGGUCCAGACUCCUACGGGAGGCAGCAGUAGGGAAUCUUCCGCAAUGGGCGAAAGCCUGACGGAGCAACGCCGCGUGAGUGAUGAAGGUCUUCGGAUCGUAAAACUCUGUUAUUAGGGAAGAACAAAUGUGUAAGUAACUAUGCACGUCUUGACGGUACCUAAUCAGAAAGCCACGGCUAACUACGUG
rnacentral:rRNA from 1 species